rnacentral:lncRNA from 1 species
ACCAAUAUCUGUAUUGUUCGGUGUUAAUUAUUGGCUUACGACACAUACCACUAAAUCAGCCAUAAGAUAGAGAACUUAUUUAUGAUACACACAUAUCUGUUCCUGUAACUAAAAUAGAUAGAAUGUCUCUAUUCUUGGACUUUGAGUGGUUCUCUUUGGGUUUAUGAUGUAAUUAGUAUCAAUAUCUGUAUUGAUACUACACGUACCACUAUGAUUUAUGAUUAACCAAUAUCUGUAUUGUUUGGUGUUAAUUAUUGGCUUAGACUUGUACCACUAAAUCAGCCAUAAGAUAGAGAACUUAUUUAUGAUACACACAUAUCUGUUCCUGUAACUAAAAUAGAUAGAAUGUCUCUAUUCUUGGACUUUUUGAGUGGUUCUCUUUGGGUUUAUGAUGUAAUUAGUAUCAACUAUCUGGAUUCUAUAAUUCUCCAGCUUGUUACCUCUAAAUAGGGAAAAGUCUGCUUUUUCUUCUUUGUAUGUCCUUUCCAGUUUAUCAGAUUAUGCAUAGAUGUAUAAGAAAUGUAAUUUUACUGAUUAAACAUGAUGAUUUGCUUCACCUUUGUAAAUCGAAUAAACAAAUGAUGAGUCAAACCUGCAAAAGGUGCUUGGAACCCAUCUAGAGGAUACUUAUCGCAAAUUUAUGGAUGAAUUAUUGGAUUGAACAGAAUAGAACAUGUGCAACAGUGCAAGUACAUUCUAGAUUCUCAACCUUAUUGCUAAGUCUAUUGUACAUGAUUGACCAUAGUGAAAACAAAUGCUGCUCCUCGGAUUCUUGGUCAGUCUUUAUUUAUUUGAUCUUUUAGAUUUAGUAUCUCACCGGAUACCCUCCAGCACAAGCAUGCUAUUUUUAUUCUUUU